AGUGAACGCUGGCGGUAGGCCUAACACAUGCAAGUCGAACGGCAGCACAGGAGAGCUUGCUCUCUAGGUGGCGAGUGGCGGACGGGUGAGGAAUACAUCGGAAUCUGCCCAGUCGUGGGGGAUAACGUAGGGAAACUUACGCUAAUACCGCAUACGACCUUCGGGUGAAAGAGGGGGAUCGCAAGACCUCUCGCGAUUGGAUGAGCCGAUGUCGGAUUAGCUAGUUAGCGGGGUAAUGGCCCACCAAGGCGACGAUCCGUAGCUGGUCUGAGAGGAUGAUCGGCGGCACUGGAAGGGGGACAGGGGCCAGACGACUGAGAGAGGCAGCAGAAGGGUAUAGUAGGCAAUGGGCGGGAGCAUGAUACAGCGAGAGGGCGUGGGUGAAGUAGACGUUCGGGGUGUGAAGACCGUUUGAUGGGAGAGAAACGUUUUAGGCUAAUAACAAGGGUGGAUGAAGGUACCGGGUGAAGAAGCACCGGAUAACUACGUG
rnacentral:rRNA from 1 species